rnacentral:rRNA from 1 species
GAUGAACGCUGGCGGCGUGCCUAAUACAUGCAAGUCGAGCGAACGGACGAGAAGCUUGCUUCUCUGAUGUUAGCGGCGGACGGGUGAGUAACACGUGGAUAACCUACCUAUAAGACUGGGAUAACUUCGGGAAACCGGAGCUAAUACCGGAUAAUAUAUUGAACCGCAUGGUUCAAUAGUGAAAGACGGUCUUGCUGUCACUUAUAGAUGGAUCCGCGCUGCAUUAGCUAGUUGGUAAGGUAACGGCUUACCAAGGCAACGAUGCAUAGCCGACCUGAGAGGGUGAUCGGCCACACUGGAACUGAGACACGGUCCAGACUCCUACGGGAGGCAGCAGUAGGGAAUCUUCCGCAAUGGGCGAAAGCCUGACGGAGCAACGCCGCGUGAGUGAUGAAGGUCUUCGGAUCGUAAAACUCUGUUAUUAGGGAAGAACAAAUGUGUAAGUAACUGUGCACGUCUUGACGGUACCUAAUCAGAAAGCCACGGCUAACUACGUG